UACGAAGGGUGCGAACGUUAUUCGGAAUUAUUGGGCGUAAAGGGUGUGUAGACGGUGUAUUAAGUCUGUUGUUAAAUCUUUCGGCCUAACCGAAAAUCUGCAGUAGAUACUGAUACGCUAGAGGGUGGAAGAGAGAAGUGGAAUUCUCGGAGUAGCGGUAAAAUGCGUAGAUCUCGAGAGGAACACCAAUGGCGAAGGCAGCUUCUUGGUCCAUACCUGACGUUGAGACACGAAAGCGUGGGGAGCAAACAGG
rnacentral:rRNA from 1 species